rnacentral:rRNA from 1 species
UACAGAGGUCGCAAGCGUUGUUCGGAUUCAUUGGGCGUAAAGGGUGCGUAGGCGGCGCGGUAAGUCGGGUGUGAAAUCUUGGAGCUUAACUCCGAGACUGCAUUCGAUACUGCCGUGCUUGAGGACUGGAGAGGAGACUGGAAUUUACGGUGUAGCGGUGAAAUGCGUAGAUAUCGUAAGGAAGACCAGUGGCGAAGGCGGGUCUCUGGACAGUUCCUGACGCUGAGGCACGAAGGCCAGGGGAGCAAACGGG